rnacentral:lncRNA from 1 species
CAGGCUUCUGUUGGAUCUCUUAAUGACUACAUGACUGCAAUUUCGUUCUAAAAAAAAAAGCAAGAGAGACUUUGGAGAAUCGGAUUUGCCCUGUAAUGCGAACUAUAGACAAAAUGGACCUCGAUCGUUUGGGAAGUUCCUCCUCAGCAGCAUUUUAUUCAUCCAGGAGCAGGCAGAGAUUUACCUGGGGAGCGGACGAGGUUCCCCUCCGGCAAUAAGAAGGGGGUUGCACCUCUCGGACUAAGUGCCUUGCAGAGAAGUUUAUUACAGAGUAUGAAAAUCAGGAAGCUUUUUGUUCACUUCAUACAUCUCUUCCUACAAAGCCAGACAUCAGACCCGAGCUCGGAUUCCGGAGUGAUUAUUGUUACACAUGAUCUAUGGAGCAGAUAAAUUACGGCUUGAUUUUUAUAAGAAAUCUGUGAAACGGUGCAGAAAAAUCUACAACUGGCUUCUCCCACUUCGCUGCGGAGCCGGUUUCUCUUUUCCCCACUUCGUCUCCGUUCCUGGAGGGGGUAGAUAUGAAAACCAGGGAGGCGAGAACGGAGCGGCAGAGUCACGAGCACAGUUUCAUGCAGGGGGAGACCAUUUCGGUCUCCUGCUUUGCCUAAGUUUGGCAGUGGCCUACAGAAGGCAGAAAGGAAAGCAAGGGGAAGAUUAAAGCCAUUCUAAAUGGAAGUGGAGUGUGUAACUGGAUGCAAGAUUUCUGCACAGGCGGCAUGUGUCAGCAGCCGUUACACCAGUGACUUUAGGUGAGCCUUCGAUCGAGCCUGUUAAAUAGUUCAGUGAGGUAGGUGCGACCAGGA